AAAGGUGACCUCUUCAUGAAAGUUGCCGUUCAUAGACGGGCUCGCGUACCAUUAGCUAGUUGGUAGGGUAAUGGCCUACCAAGGCUACGAUGGUUAGCUGGUCUGAGAGGAUGAUCAGCCACACUGGAACUGGAACACGGUCCAGACUCCUACGGGAGGCAGCAGUGAGGAAUUUUGCGCAAUGGGGGAAACCCUGACGCAGCAACGCCGCGUGAGCGAAGAAGGCCUUCGGGUCGUAAAGCUCUGUCAAGUGGGAAAAAAGCCUUUCGGUUAAUAUCCGGGAGGUGUGAUGGUACCACUGGAGGAAGCACCGGCUAACUCCGUGCCAGCAGCCGCGGUAAUACGGAGGGUGCAAGCGUUGUUCGGAUUUACUGGGCGUAAAGGGCGUGCAGGCGGUUUGGUAAGUCAGAUGUGAAAGCCCUGGGCUUAACCCGGGAAGUGCAUUUGAAACUGCCUUUCUUGAGUAUGGGAGAGGAGAGUGGAAUUCCCAGUGUAGAGGUGAAAUUCGUAGAUAUUGGGAGGAACACCGGUGGCGAAGGCGACUCUCUGGACCAAUACUGACGCUGAGACGCGAAAGCGUGGGGAGCAAACAGGAUUAGAUACCCUGGUAGUCCACGCUGUAAACGAUGAGAACUAGGUGUAGCGGGUAUUGACCCCUGCUGUGCCGCAGUUAACGCAUUAAGUUCUCCGCCUGGGGAGUACGGCCGCAAGGCUAAAACUCAAAGGAAUUGACGGGGGCCCGGCGACAAGCGGUGGAGGCAUGUGGUUUAAUUCGUACGCAACGCGAAGAA
rnacentral:rRNA from 1 species